CCUACGGGNGGCAGCAGUAGGGAANUUUCGGCAAUGGAGGAAACNNUGACCGAGCAACGCCGCGUGAACGAUGAAGUAUUUCGGUACGUAAAGUUCUUUUAUUAGGGAAGAAUNAANGAUGGAAAAAUCAUUCUGACGGUACCUAAUGAAUAAGCCCCGGCUAACUAUGUGCCAGCAGCCGCGGUAAUACAUAGGGGGCAAGCGUUAUCCGGAAUUAUUGGGCGUAAAGGGUGCGUAGGCGGUUAAAUAAGUUUAUGGUCUAAGUGCAAUGCUCAACAUUGUGAUGCUAUAAAAACUGUUUAGCUAGAGUAAGAUAGAGGCAAGUGGAAUUCCAUGUGUAGUGGUAAAAUGCGUAAAUAUAUGGAGGAACACCAGUAGCGAAGGCGGCUUGCUGGGUCUUUACUGACGCUGAGGCACGAAAGCGUGGGGAGCAAACAGGAUUAGAUACCCUGGUAGUCCACGCCGUAAACGAUGAGUACUAAACGUUGGGUAAAACCAGUGUUGAAGUUAACACAUUAAGUACUCCGCCUGAGUAGUACGUACGCAAGUAUGAAACUUAAAGGAAUUGACGGGACUCCGCACAAGCGGUGGAUCAUGUUGUUUAAUUCGAAGGUACCCGAAAAACCUCACCAGGUCUUGACAUGCUUCUGCAAAGCUGUAGAAACACAGUGGAGGUUAUCAGUUGCACAGGUGGUGCAUGGUUGUCGUCAGCUCGUGUCGUGAGAUGUUGGGUUAAGUCCCGCAACGAGCGCAACCCUUAUUGUUAGUUGCCAGCACGUAAUGGUGGGGACUUUAGCAAGACUGCCAGUGAUAAAUUGGAGGAAGGUGGGGACGACGUCAAAUCAUCAUGCCCCUUAUGACCUGGGCUACAAACGUGAUACAAUGGCUGUUACAAAGGGUAGCUGAAGCGCAAGUUUUUGGCGAAUCUCAAAAAAACAGUCUCAGUUCG
rnacentral:rRNA from 2 species